UGGCUGUCGUCAGCUCGUGUUGUGAAAUGUUGGGUUAAGUCCCGCAACGAGCGCAACCCUUAUCCUUUGUUGCCAGCCGAUUAU
rnacentral:rRNA from 1 species